GUUCAGUGCCAUCCACACUGACCACACACUUCACAGCUCUGCUUGAAGUCAGAAGAGUGUGGCCAAUGAUGUAAAUUUCAGAGAGAGAGAGGCAACAAAAGCAGAGGGAAUGAGAGAGGGAGAAGAAGUCCUCCCACUGAGCAGGGAACCUGAUUCAGGGCUCAAUCCUAGGUUCCUGGGAUCAUGAUCUGAACCAAGGCAGACGGUUAAUGACUGAGCCACCCAGGUGCCUUCCUGGAGCUCAUGAAUCGGACCUUCCUGUAAGAUAAGAAAGCAAGACGGGGACUGGACAGCAAUAUAUAGAACCAUAGAAAGAAUAGUUGUCUUACAGGAACUGGAAACAUGGAAAGCUUCAGUCAUUUCCAGGAACCCCAAUGAAAAUUGUCUGGGAGCCUUCAUCAGACCUGUCCACAGAGACCUGGCA
rnacentral:lncRNA from 1 species